rnacentral:rRNA from 1 species
UACGUAGGGGGCUAGCGUUGUCCGGAAUCAUUGGGCGUAAAGCGCGUGUAGGCGGCCCGGUAAGUCCGCUGUGAAAGUCCAGGGCUCAACCCUGGGAUGCCGGUGGAUACUGUCGGGCUCGAGUCCGGAAGAGGCGAGUGGAAUUCCUGGUGUAGCGGUGAAAUGCGCAGAUAUCAGGAGGAACACCAAUGGCGAAGGCAGCUCGCUGGGACGUGACUGACGCUGAGACGCGAAGGCGUGGGGAGCGAACGGG